UCCUACGGGAGGCAGCAGUGGGGAAUUUUGCGCAAUGGGGGAAACCCUGACGCAGCAACGCCGCGUGAGUGAUGAAGGCCUUCGGGUCGUAAAGCUCUGUCAGAGGGAAAGAAAUGUAUAGUGGUUAAUACCCAUUAUACUUGACGGUACCCUCAAAGGAAGCACCGGCUAACUCCGUGCCAGCAGCCGCGGUA
rnacentral:rRNA from 1 species